rnacentral:rRNA from 1 species
GUGCAUUAGCUAGUUGGUAAGGUAACGGCUUACCAAGGCAAUGAUGCAUAGCCGAGUUGAGAGACUGAUCGGCCACAUUGGGACUGAGACACGGCCCAAACUCCUACGGGAGGCAGCAGUAGGGAAUCUUCCACAAUGGACGAAAGUCUGAUGGAGCAACGCCGCGUGAGUGAAGAAGGGUUUCGGCUCGUAAAGCUCUGUUGGUAGUGAAGAAAGAUAGAGGUAGUAACUGGCCUUUAUUUGACGGUAAUUACUUAGAAAGUCACGGCUAACUACGUGCCAGCAGCCGCGGUAAUACGUAGGUGGCAAGCGUUGUCCGGAUUUAUUGGGCGUAAAGCGAGUGCAGGCGGUUCAAUAAGUCUGAUGUGAAAGCCUUCGGCUCAACCGGAGAAUUGCAUCAGAAACUGUUGAACUUGAGUGCAGAAGAGGAGAGUGGAACUCCAUGUGUAGCGGUGGAAUGCGUAGAUAUAUGGAAGAACACCAGUGGCGAAGGCGGCUCUCUGGUCUGCAACUGACGCUGAGGCUCGAAAGCAUGGGUAGCGAACAGGAUUAGAUACCCUGGUAGUCCAUGCCGUAA